AUUGAACGCUGGCGGCAGGCCUAACACAUGCAAGUCGAGCGGAGCGGCGGACGGGUGCGUAAUGCCUAGGAAUCUGCCUGGUAGUCGGGGAUAACGUCAGGAAACGGGCGCUAAUACCACAUACUAUCAGAUGAGCCUAGGUCGGAUUAGCUGGUUGGUGGGGUAAAGGCCUACCAAGGCGAAGACCCGUAACUGGUCUGAGAGGAGGAUCAGUCACACUGGAACUGAGACACGGUCCAGACUCCUACGGGAGGCAGCAGUGGGGAAUAGUGGACAAUGGGGGCAAGCCUGAUGCAGCCAUGCCGCGUGUAUGAAGAAGGCCUUCGGGUUGUAAAGUACUUUCAGCGGGGAGGCGUUACCCGCAGAAGAAGCACCGGCUAACUCCGUGCCAGCAGCCGCGGUAAUUC
rnacentral:rRNA from 1 species